rnacentral:rRNA from 1 species
GACAGAGGGGGCAAGCGUUGCUCGGAAUCACUGGGCGUAAAGGGCGCGUAGGCGGGAUGGCAAGUCGGUCGUGAAAUCCUUCGGCCCAACCGAAGAACGUCGGCCGAUACUGCCGUUCUUGAGGGAUGCAGAGGAGACUGGAAUUCCCGGUGUAGCGGUGAAAUGUGCAGAGAUCGGGAGGAACACCGGUGGCGAAGGCGGGUCUCUGGGCAUUUCCUGACGCUGAGGCGCGAAAGCGUGGGGAGCAAACGGG